rnacentral:lncRNA from 13 species
UUGACAUUCUUAGCUCUUUGAUCUCUGAAUCUGUAUUUCUUAAGAGAAGUCCAGUGGGACAAUGGAGUGUAUGGAUGAACAGAGCAGACACAAGCAAGAUGCAUGUCUGCUGCUCUUGCCAUCUGAUUUGCACACUGCAUUCACAUGGCCCCUGAGCACGGCAUUCCAGUGGGUCAAGACAUACGGAAUUCAGCAAGGCGCAGUGCAAAUACAAGGUUUUGGGGUACAAGUGAAGAACAUGCAAGAUAGUUGUAUAGGUACACACGUGGCAGUGUGAUUUGCUGCCUUCCUCCCCUUCACCUAUAUCUGGCAUUUCUCCCCAUGCUGUCUCUCCCGAACUCCCCACCACCCGCUGUCCCUCCCCUAUUCCCCCCAACAGACCCCAGUGUGUAGUGCUCCCCUCCCUGUGUCCAUGUGUUCUCAUUGUUCAACACCCACCUAUAAGUGAGAAAAUGUGGUAUUUCAUUUUCUGUUCUUGUGUCAGUUUGCUGAGAAUGAUGGUCUCCAGUUUCAUCCAUGUCCCUACAAAGGACAUGAACUCAUCGUUUUUGAUGGCUGCAUAAUAUUCCAUGGUGUAUAUGUGCCACAUUUUCCCUGUCCAGUCCAUCAUUGUUGGGCAUUUGGAUUGGUUCCAGGUCUUUGCUAUUGUAAACAGUGCUGCAAUGAACAUUUGUGUGCAUAUGUCCUUAUAGUAGAAUGAUUUAUAAUCCUCUGGAUAUAUACCUGGUAAUGGGAUUGCUGGGUCAAAUGGAAUUUCUAUUUCUAGGUCCUUGAGGAAUCGCCACACUGUCUUCCACAAUGGUUGAACUAAUUUACACUACCACCAGCAGUGUAAAAGUGUUUCUAUUUCUCCACAUCCUCUCCAGCAUCUGUUGUCUCCAGAUUUUUUAAUGAUCGCCAUUCUAACUGGCGUGAGAUGGUAUCUCAAUGAAGUUUUAAUUUGCAUUUCUCUAAUGACCAGUGAUGAUGAGCAUUUUUUCAUAUGUUUGUUGGCCUCAUGUAUGUCUUCUUUUGUAAAGUGUCUGUUCAUAUCCUUUGCCCACUUUUGAAUGGGCUUGUUUUUGUUCUUGUAAAUCUGUUUUAGUUCUUUGUAAAUACUGGAUAUCAGCCCUUUGUCAGAUGGGCAGACUGCAAAAAUUUUUUUCCAUUCUGUUGGUUCCGAUUCACUCUAAUGACUAUUUAUUUUGCCAUGCAGAAGCUGUGGAGUUUGAUUAGGUCCCAUUUGUCUAUUUUGGCUUUUGUUGCCAAUGCUUUUGGUGUUUUGGUCAUGAAGUCCU